rnacentral:pre_miRNA from 1 species
GGUGCCAAAGAACGAAUCGUCGAAUCGGAUGUCUGUGCAUUGUGCGAGAAAUUCGAAUCGACAUUCGACCUGUGGCCAUC